rnacentral:rRNA from 2 species
CACAUGACUCUCGGCAACGGAUAUCUCGGCUCUUGCAUCGAUGAAGAACGUAGCAAAAUGCGAUACCUGGUGUGAAUUGCAGAAUCCCGUGAACCAUCGAGUUUUUGAACGCAAGUUGCGCCUGAGGCCUUUUGGUCGAGGGCACGUCUGCCUGGGCGUCACGC